rnacentral:rRNA from 1 species
CGCUAACACUCCGUACGGGAGGCAGCAGUAGGGAAUCUUCCACAAUGGAACGAAGUCUGAUGGAGCAACGCCGCGUGAACGAUGAAGGCUUUCGGGUCGUAAAGUUCUGUUGUAAGGGAAGAACAAGUGCCGCAGGCAAUGGCGGCACCUUGACGGUACCUUGCGAGAAAGCCACGGCUAACUACGUGCCAGCAGCCGCGGUAAUACGUAGGUGGCAAGCGUUGUCCGGAAUUAUUGGGCGUAAAGCGCGCGCAGGCGGCCUCUUAAGUCUGAUGUGAAAGCCCCCGGCUCAACCGGGAGGGCCAUUGGAAACUGGGAGGCUUGAGUAUAGGAGAGAAGAGUGGAAUUCCACGUGUAGCGGUGAAAUGCGUAGAGAUGUGGAGGAACACCAGUGGCGAAGGCGACUCUUUGGCCUAUAACUGACGCUGAGGCGCGAAAGCGUGGGGAGCAAACAGGAUUAGAUACCCUGGUAG